GACAGAGGGUGCAAACGUUGUUCGGAAUUACUGGGCGUAAAGCGCGUGUAGGCUGCCCAGCAGGUCGGAUGUGAAAGCCCUGGGCUUAACCUAGGAAGUGCAUUCGAAACUGCUGGGCUUGAGUUCUGGAGAGGAAGGCGGAAUUCUCGGUGUAGAGGUGAAAUUCGUAGAUAUCGAGAGGAACACCGGUGGCGAAGGCGGCCUUCUGGACAGUGACUGACGCUGAGACGCGAAAGCGUGGGGAGCAAACAGG
rnacentral:rRNA from 1 species